rnacentral:rRNA from 1 species
GAUGAAUGCUGGCGGCGUGCCUAACACAUGCAAGUCGAGCGGCAGCGAGUUUUACACUGAAUUCUGGAAGCUUCUGAGUAGUACAGAAGAUUUAUUCAAGAGUUUUGUGUAAAAUGUCGGCGAGCGGCGGACGGCUGAGUAACGCGUAGGAAUUUGCCCCAAAGUGAGGAACAACUGCCCGAAAGGGUAGCUAAUGCCGCAUAUGGUCUUCGGAUUAAAGCCUUCGGGCGCUUUGGGAGAAGCCUGCGUUGGAUUAGGUAGUUGGUAGGGUAAUGGCCUACCAAGCCGACGAUCCAUAGCUGGUCUGAGAGGAUGAUCAGCCAGACUGGAACUGAGACACGGUCCAGACUCCUACGGGAGGCAGCAGUGAGGAAUCUUCCACAAUGGGCGAAAGCCUGAUGGAGCAACGCCGCGUGAAGGAUGAAGGCCUUCGGGUUGUAAACUUCUUUUAUGAGUGAAGAAUAUGACGGUAACUCAUGAAUAAGCACCGGCUAACUACGUG